UCCAAGUUCAUACUCUCCAUGAUCAGGGGA
rnacentral:piRNA from 1 species